GUUCUCCAUUCAGGUCCAAAGCAUCUGCAAUUCGAAUGAUUCAAGCAUGAGAUUCAUUCAGUUUCCGUUUCAAAAGGGAUCUUAUACAAAUACACCGAAUGAUUUUCUAAACCCUAGAUAUCCCUUUGUCUUCAUACUGAUUUAAGCGUCUGCAAUACAAACGAUUCAAGGUACUAAUCAACGUUUUUACGUUUUUAUCAGACUAUGGAAUUGAUUGAGACUUUCAUUCAUGUUUGUAUUAUCUAUGAUCCCUCCAAGUCCAACAAAGGUUUUCAGUGCCAGUUUGUUUUUUUUUUUCUUUUUUGUUUUUUUAUUUGUUUUGGCAGAAUUGAAUAGAGAUUUAGAGGACACUAGCACAUAAAAUUGGAUUUAGUAUGUAUGUAGGUUUUAAAUAUAUCCACCACAUGUUAGAAACCAAUUAAAUAAUUAAUUUUAUUUAUUUAUUGUGAUAUAUAAAUUGUAUUUUGCAGUUAUACAUUAAGAAGUAUGACACUUCUGAAUUAUGUAAGUUAAAGAUUAUAAAAAGGUGUUUUUUUAAUCUUUAUUGAUUUAACUGCUCAUGGUAUUUGUGAUUGAAGUUUUUGAGGAUUCCUUUUACCUUCCCCUUGAUUAUUAUGAUAAGAGGAAGGUAAGUUUAUAACUAUGUAUGCAACAUUUGUGAACUUACAGGUGGGCCAUUGACUCGGGUACAUUUAUAUGUGUUUGUUAUACGUAUAUAUGUAUGUGUGUGUAAACUGUAAUAUAUACGAUAUGAUUUAUUAUUUUUGAGGUUGAAAUAAUUUGUAUAGUGAAAAGAUGUAGAAAAAGGUGAGUUCUUGAUGCGAAGCCGCUUGACGCGUUGGUAUUUUUUUCAAGGAAAUGCAAUCUGUUCUUGAGCUCUUGAAGAUCUGUAAGUUGCCUGAGACAAGGAACGGGGAAGGCUGAGUUGGUAGGGCGUAGAUCAAAUCAAGUGGGUCAAAAAAUGUAAACAGUUAAUGCUAUUAAAAACAGAUUUAUCAAGAUAUACAACAGUUAGGUAGGGGCAUUUACCCAUCUUAACACAAGCGAACAAGCCAGGAAUAAGAAGCAAGCUGAAAAGAAUGCAGCCAUGUAGGUCAUCUUAUUUUCAAACACAAAGUUCAUCUUUACAAAAAAGGAUACUUGAGAAGCAAGAACAUAUUACUGUUGACGCGUUUUACAACAGUUUAGGUUAAAGGGAAAUAUGUCCACCAUGUGAUUGUCUCACGGUUUAGAUUGAGGAAUUGAGGAGCAAGAACAUGGAUUUGUGCGGAGAUGCAUCAAUCAUGGGUGCUAACCAACAAGAUGGAAAAAAAUGGCUCCCUUUUGAUUCAACUGACAAGCUGUUCAAGGGACCCGGAUCUUAACUUUGAAGUUAUUUAGGUUUAUCUUCCUUUUGUAUGUCACUUUGUUUCGUAUUUAUUUUAUUUAUACACGAAUGAUCGAUUUGUUUGUAUUAUUUUAUUUAUAUACUAAUAUUUAAU
rnacentral:lncRNA from 1 species